UCUUACACACACAUCACUUGCAUGACUUUAAGUCACAUACCACUUGCAUGAAUUUAUGUCACAAAUUCCACUUGCAAGGCUUUAUGAAAUUGUUGAAAAGAUUUCCAAAUUUUUGUGGACUUAUCUCCACUCCCUUUCCCUCUCUAAAAACCAGACCUCCCUCAAUGGGAGUACUUUUGGGUCUUUUAUGCAAUUACAUAAAGUUUUG
rnacentral:lncRNA from 1 species